rnacentral:rRNA from 1 species
CCUACGGGAGGCAGCAGUAGGGAAUCUUUCACAAUGGGCGAAAGCCUGAUGGAGCAACGCCGCGUGCAGGAUGAAGGCCUUCGGGUUGUAAACUGCUUUUAUAAGCGAGAAAUAUGAUGGUAACUUAUGAAUAAGGAUCGGCUAGCUACGUGCCAGACGCCGCGGUCAUACGUAGGAUCCGAGCAUUAUCCGGAGUGACUGGGUGUAAAGAGUUGCAUAGGUGGCAUAAUAAGUAGCUAGUGAAAUCUGGUGGCUCAACCAUUCAGACUAUUAGCUAAACUGGUAAGCUCGAGGCCAUUAGAGGUAACUGGAAUUUCUAGUGUAGGAGUGAAAUCCGUAGAUAUUAGGAGGAACACCAAUAGCGUAGGCAGGUUGCUGGGACGGUUCUGACACUAAGGCACGAAAGCGUAGGGAGCAAACGGGAUUAGAUACCCGUGUAGUC